rnacentral:rRNA from 1 species
GACGUAGGGUGCGAGCGUUGUUCGGAAUCACUGGGCGUAAAGGGCGCGUAGGCGGCUUUGUAAGUCGGGGGUGAAAGCCUGUGGCUCAACCACAGAAUUGCCUUCGAUACUGCAUGGCUUGAGACCGGAAGAGGUUAGUGGAACUGCGAGUGUAGAGGUGAAAUUCGUAGAUAUUCGCAAGAACACCAGUGGCGAAGGCGGCUGACUGGACAAGUAUUGACGCUGAGGUACGAAAGCGUGGGGAGCAAACAGG